rnacentral:rRNA from 1 species
CAGCCGCCGCGGUAAUACGAAGGGGGUUAGCGUUGCUCGGAAUGACUGGGCGUAAAGGGCGCGUAGGCGGAUUGUUUAGUUAGGCGUGAAAUUCCUGGGCUUAACCUGGGGACUGCGCUUAAUACAGGCAGUCUAGAGUGAGGAAGAGGGCUGUGGAAUUCCCAGUGUAGAGGUGAAAUUCGUAGAUAUUGGGAAGAACACCAGUGGCGAAGGCGGCUCACUGGACCGACACUGACGCUGAGGCGCAAAAGCGUGGGGAGCAAACAGGAUUAGAUACCCCUGUAGUCCCUGUCUCUUAUAC